GCUAACGAAGCAAGGAAGACAGAGGAGUGGUUGGGUGUACCCUCUAGAAGCUGAUAUUGUCUGUGUUCUCUGCCGCAUAGAAUGCUUUUGCUUUCAUUUGCUGUCCAUCCAUAAGGCCUCAAAUAUUUAAAUAUUAGCUCUCCUGUCUCCUAUAUUCUAUUUAGGCUAAAAACUUACCAAGUUCUACAUACAUAAGCCUAGUGGUUGGGAAU
rnacentral:misc_RNA from 1 species